UACAGAGGUCUCAAGCGUUGUUCGGAUUCAUUGGGCGUAAAGGGUGCGUAGGUGGCGUGGUAAGUCGGGUGUGAAUUUCGGAGCUUAACUCCGAAACUGCAUUCGAUACUGCUGUGCUUGAGGACUGGAGAGGAGACUGGAAUUUACGGUGUAGCAGUGAAAUGCGUAGAGAUCGUAAGGAAGACCAGUGGCGAAGGCGGGUCUCUGGACAGUUCCUGACACUGAGGCACGAAGGCCAGGGGAGCAAACGGG
rnacentral:rRNA from 1 species